rnacentral:rRNA from 1 species
AGCGAACGCUGGCGGCAGGCCUAACACAUGCAAGUCGAACGAACUCUUCGGAGUUAGUGGCGGACGGGUGAGUAACACGUGGGAACGUGCCUUUAGGUUCGGAAUAACUCAGGGAAACUUGUGCUAAUACCGAAUGUGCCCUUCGGGGGAAAGAUUUAUCGCCUUUAGAGCGGCCCGCGUCUGAUUAGCUAGUUGGUGAGGUAAAGGCUCACCAAGGCGACGAUCAGUAGCUGGUCUGAGAGGGUGAUCAGCCACAUUGGGACUGAGACACGGCCCAAACUCCUACGGGAGGCAGCAGUGGGGAAUCUUGCGCAAUGGGCGAAAGCCUGACGCAGCCAUGCCGCGUGAAUGAUGAAGGUCUUAGGAUUGUAAAAUUCUUUCACCGGGGACGAUAAUGACGGUACCCGGAGAAGAAGCCCCGGCUAACUUCGUG